rnacentral:rRNA from 1 species
UAAUACGUAGGGUGCAAGCGUUGUCCGGAAUUAUUGGGCGUAAAGAGCUCGUAGGCGGUCUGUCGCGUCGGAUGUGAAACCCCGGGGCUCAACUCCGGGCCUGCAUUCGAUACGGGCAGACUAGAGUGUGGUAGGGGAGACUGGAAUUCCUGGUGUAGCGGUGAAAUGCGCAGAUAUCAGGAGGAACACCGGUGGCGAAGGCGGGUCUCUAGGCCAAUACUGACGCUGAGGAGCGAAAGCGUGGGGAGCAAACAGG